rnacentral:rRNA from 1 species
GCUAAGGAAGUGCGGGCAGCGGGUGUAGGAAGGAGGGGGGCAGUGUUGUCAUGAUUGAGUGGUGGGAAAGCUCGUGUAGGCGGCCAGGUAGGUCGUGGGUGAAAAUGUGAGGCGCAAGCUACAGACGUCGAUCGAAACCAUCUGGCUAGGGUCCGGAAGAGGAGAAUGGAAUUCCUGGUGUAGCGGUGAAAUGCGAAGAUAUCAGGAAGAACACCGAUGGCGAAGGCAGUUCUCUGGGACGGUACUGACGCUGAGACGCGAAAGCGUGGGGAGCGAACAGGAUUAGAUACCCUAGUAGUC